CCUACGGGAGGCAGCAGUGAGGAAUAUUGGUCAAUGGGCGGGAGCCUGAACCAGCCAAGCCGCGUGAGGGAAGAAGGUACAGCGUAUCGUAAACCUCUUUUGUCAGGGAACAAAGUCGGGGACUCGUCCCCUGAUGAGGGUACCUGACGAAAAAGCAUCGGCUAACUCCGUGCCAGCAGCCGCGGUAAUACGGAGGAUGCGAGCGUUAUCCGGAUUUAUUGGGUUAAAAGGGUGCGCAGGCGGCCGGUUAAGUCAGCGGUAAAAGCCCGGGGCUCAACCCCGGCGAGCCGUUGAAACUGGCGGGCUGGAGUUGGAGAGAAGUAAGCGGAAUGCGCGGUGUAGCGGUGAAAUGCUUAGAUAUCGCGCAGAACCCCGAUUGCGAAGGCAGCGUACCGGCUCCACACUGACGCUGAGGCACGAAAGCGUGGGUAUCGAACAGGAUUAGAUACCCCAGUAGUC
rnacentral:rRNA from 1 species